rnacentral:rRNA from 1 species
GAUGAACGCUGGCGGCGUGCUUAACACAUGCAAGUCGAGCGAAGCACUUGUGAAGAUUCUUCGGAUGAAUCAUUUGUGACUGAGCGGCGGACGGGUGAGUAACGCGUGAGUAACCUGCCUUAUACAGGGGAAUAACAGUUAGAAAUGACUGCUAAUGCCGCAUAAGCGCACAGGACCGCAUGGUCCGGUGUGAAAAACUCCGGUGGUAUGAGAUGGACUCGCGUCUGAUUAGCUGGUUGGUGAGGUAACGGCCCACCAAGGCGACGAUCAGUAGCCGGCCUGAGGGGGUGAACGGCCACAUUGGGACUGAGACACGGCCCAAACUCCUACGGGAGGCAGCAGUGGGGAAUAUUGCACAAUGGGGGAAACCCUGAUGCAGCGACGCCGCGUGAGUGAAGAAGUAUUUCGGUAUGUAAAGCUCUAUCAGCAGGGAAGAAAAUGACGGUACCUGACUAAGAAGCCCCGGCUAACUACGUGCCAGCCGCCGCAGUAA